UUUUUGGAGAGUUUGAUCCUGGCUCAGGACGAACGCUGGCGGCGUGCCUAAUACAUGCAAGUCGAGCGAAUCUGAUGGGAGCUUGCUCCCUGAUGAUUAGCGGCGGACGGGUGAGUAACACGUGGGUAACCUGCCUGUAAGACUGGGAUAACUCCGGGAAACCGGGGCUAAUACCGGAUAACUUUUUUCUUCGCAUGAGGGAGAAUUGAAAGAUGGCUUCGGCUAUCACUUACAGAUGGACCCGCGGCGCAUUAGCUAGUUGGUGAGGUAACGGCUCACCAAGGCGACGAUGCGU
rnacentral:ncRNA from 1 species